UUCAUACCUGCCGCAGCAGCAGGAGACGAGAGGCAGCCACCAACAGCUCGGAAAGUGCUGCUUCCUCAGUGCAAACUGCAGGUGAUUAUCUCUCAACCCCUCGGUAUGAACCACACGCUGAGCCAGGAGUGACAGAGCUGGGAGAUGAGAUUUGUGGUCAGAAAUGGGAAACCCUCUGUCUGCAGCAAGGCACUAUUGACCUCUUUAAAAGAGGUUUAAAUUCUGCUUAGCUUGAAGGUCCCUGGGGAGGGACUUCACCUGCCAGGCACCAGGAUCCAUGCGGAACAUGUGAAGCAUCUAUCCCACUCAGUAACCUGGCAGCAGAUUCAGAUCGCUGCAGACAGAGGCUGGUAACAUCUGAGUAGUGCCGAUAAAAUACUCUGGAGCCUGUGUAUUAGACUUAAUAUAAUUGCCCAAAGGGCAUCUACUGACCUACUUUACUGUACAGUUACUGUACAGUUGACAAAUGAUGUUAACAGAGCCUUAGUGGUCACUUGAGGAUGGCAAAUAUACAGCACUCGAAGCUGAGAUUUUCAUUGCAGCACAUAUUUUAAUGACUUUUAACUCUCUGGAAGUGCUGCUUUUUCCCUAUAAUGGAAGCAUUUACGUUACCCAGUUCAAAUGCUCUAAGGUGUCUUUAUUUCUCUUGGCCUGGCUUAUAAUGGCCUAGUUCAAAAGCAUUAAAGUUUAAGGGAAAUGAGCUGAGCACCAAGAGAAGCAGGAAAACACUUUUUCCUCUGUAAGCUGGAUCUGUGUAUGUGAGGAAGGAAUGGAUGAGCUCCUCAUUCACCGUGUGCAGGGGAGUGUCUGCAGCGGACUCAGGGCCUUUCCACACCUCUUUAGUUUCACAGGGAAAUAAUCAAGAGGGGCUGAAGGUUUGAUCCAAUGAGUUUAUCAAGGAUUUCCUAAUCCAGCCUAAAGGCAGCAGUGCUGGACAGUAAGUUAUCCUGGUGGUAGACAAAUAGCCAGAGGACCUCCCUGGCUCCUGGAGUUAUUACACCUGGUAACUCUGGUUAAUAAUCUGGCCCAAAGGUUUCUUGUACUGUUAUCUCUGCUGAAGAAACAAGGCAAAACAGAAACCCAACCAAGACUGUUUGUCCCAUCACAGCUAUUUCAAUGUGUUUGUUUGCAACCUCCAUAAACGGGUGGGUUUUAGUCUUUGACUUGUAGUGUCCUAAAACUGCAAGUCCUCUGUGUGUAUCCCCACAAGUUACAUCAACCUGGCUUUUCUCAGUGCUUUCUACAGAUUGCUACAGAGCUGCAAGCUGGAGAUCACUGCCCUUGUUUAUUGGGGCACUCAUCUAUUAGCCCAGCAGAACUCACAUGUUAAUCCUCAUCUAAAACUGUCCCCUUCGGGCAAGAUCCUCUUCAGGCUCAGCACCACAGCUGGAAGCUGCCAGAGCCCCGCUUGCAGUCACUGACCCCAUGGCAUCACCACCAUCACAAGUGACAGUUUCAGCACUGGGUUCGGAGAAGCCCAUUGCUUGUGGGGCUGUUCUAAACCUCAAGAGCUCUGCAGCAGGUAAUGAAAGUGUGUGAGUGUAUCUCAUCCUUGGCUAAAACAGAGCAGAACCAAAAGAAUACGUGGGGUUUUGUUCUCCUCCUCUGUGGACAAUGAAUCGGAUGAGCAGGAAGGCUUCUCCUCCCAUGCUCCCACACGAUGAUUAAUCUCCCCAGCAUUUGAAGAUGUUGGUCAUUAUAUCCUGCCUUGCCUUGAAAUCCACUCUUAAAAAGCAGCAGCAGGAGGUUAUGUUUAUAUGAUGAAAGACGAUUUUUGUGAAACAUGCAUUUGUUUCAACGUUCUUGGAGCAAAUCUAACCCAAACCUUUAGGGAGAGCAGAGAUUAUCACAGCUGGGGGAAAGCAGAGACUGCUGCAGACAGGGAUGUCCCUGGGUUUGGGCCUGACAAUGGACUACACAGAUGGAAAUUCACCCUUUGGGAGGUUAUUUUCCUUCAAAGAGAGACCAGUCUUCAGUGAUGGUUGCUAAAAGCCUGGCAGUUUCUGAAGGCAUCAUCCUGCUUGUCUCCUUCUGUGGCUGGAAAAUUCCUGUGUGCUGGCAAACAGGCUCCCCUGGCACAUUCAGGAGCCGUUCUUGGUCCCCACCAGCUAAAGGGAAGACUGUAACCUCCUGGUUUCUUUCCAAGGAGUUCAGAUGAGUGCAGACUCGGUAGGAGACCCUGAAUAGGCAGAUUUUACCUGAAAAGGAGAGAUCUUCCUGCUCCAAACAACUCGAGAGAAGAAGUUGCUAUAGACAGUGUCAUUCAUUCCCCAGGAUGCCCCCAUUGGCCCCAUCACAUCUUACACAAACUGCUUUUUGGAUUGACUCCAGAUACUCUUUUGGCCCAUUCCAAAUAUUUAUGUUUGGUUUAAGAUUGUUGGCUUUUCUUAAUGCUUCUGUUUGUCAAACCCUGUUCUUGUUUCCCUUUCCUUGGACAGCAGCACUGAGCAGUUUCAUCAGCUUGUCUGCGGUUCUGGCCAGCCUGAGCUGCCUUUCCUGACAAGUAUUCUUGGAUCUUUCCACUUGGGAUCUUAUUUCUGAAACCAUCUAAAAUAGGACAUUGCUCCACAUUCACUACAGCAAAUGCAUUGCAUUCUCCUGGCCCUUACCUUACUUAAGGAGGGGAAAAUGGAAUACAGACAUUCUGAUGAUGCCAGUUUUAAUGGGAAACAAACCCAGCUUGUGUAGGCUGCUAUAUUAGUCACCUGGUGUUCCAAGAAAGGAAUAAACUAGAACUGCUUCUGCUCUUUCCUCCCUGCACCUUAUGCUAUGCUUCUGGGUUUGCAUUAUUCUUCCUCUUGUUUUCCAUAUUCCCUGGCACAGAAGAGGUAAGACUGUGGGGAUGUAGACCUUUACCAAAAUUAAGCAAGAUUCUUCCUCUUGUGAAAGCUCAUUCCUACCCAGUUCUGCUUUAAGAGGCAUAGAACAGAUUGUUAUCUCAGAUGUGAAUGGCUUUUCCCCUCGUUCCUAGAAAACAUAAUUCUGGCUGAGGUUGUGGUGGGUUUCACAUUGUGCAAAUGUCUCUCCUGCUAGCAGAGAGCUGUCAUCUGAAUUCUCACCAAGGCUUCCGUGCAGCCCUAAAUGUGAGUCUUACUUCAGAUAAUGAAUAUCGUGUAUAUAUGAAUGUGGAGUGCAAAGGAAAGCAGUGAAACCUGCGGAUCAGUGCAUGAUGCUGUGCCUCAGUUCAGAGGUUUGGGGGCUAGAUCUGCUGGUUUAUGGCAUUUCAAUAGCUUCCCAGGCAGGGUGAGGUGACUGCCUUGUCUGCAUCAGCCAUUCUCCUCUGACUGUCAAAGGGAUGAGGAGGCUUGGUAGCCCCUUGCUUUACAGGUUGGGCACAUAGAAUCAUAGAAUGGUUUGGGUUGGA